GACGAACCGAGCGAACGUUGUUCGGAAUCACUGGGCUUAAAGGGCGCGUAGGCGGAUUCGCAAGUCUGUGGUGAAAUCCUCCGGCUCAACCGGAGAACUGCCUCGGAUACUGCGGGUCUCGAGGGUGAUAGGGGUAUGCGGAACUAUCGGUGGAGCGGUGAAAUGCGUUGAUAUCGAUAGGAACUCCGGUGGCGAAGGCGGCAUACUGGAUCACUUCUGACGCUGAAGCGCGAAAGCCAGGGGAGCAAACGGG
rnacentral:rRNA from 1 species